GACGAACGCUGGCGGCGUGCUUAACACUUGCAAGUCGAACGGAAAGGCCCUGCUUUUGUGGGGUGCUCGAGUGGCGAACGGGUGAGUAACACGUGAGUAACCUGCCCUUGACUUUGUGAUAACUUCAGGAAACUGGGGCUAAUACCGGAUAGGAGCUCCUGCUGCAUGGUGGGGGUUGGAAAGUUUCGGCGGUUGGGGAUGGACUCGCGGCUUAUCAGCUUGUUGGUGGGGUAGUGGCUUACCAAGGCUUUGACGGGUAGCCGGCCUGAGAGGGUGACCGGCCACAUGGGGACUGAGAGACGGACCAGACGGCUACGGGAGGCAGCAGUGGGGAAUAUUGCACAAUGGGCGGAAGCCUGAGGCAGCAACGCCGCGUGCGGGAUGACGGCCUUCGGGUUGUAAACCGCUUUCGCCUGUGACGAAGCGUGAGUGACGGUAAUGGGUAAAGAAGCACCGGCUAACUACGUG
rnacentral:rRNA from 1 species